GUGCUCACUUUGGCAGCACAAAAAUUGAAUGAUACAGAGAAGAUUAGCAUGGCCUCUGCACAAGGAUGACAUGCAAAUUCAUGAGUAUUCUGUAUUUUA
rnacentral:snRNA from 1 species